UACAGAGGGUGCAAGCGUUAAUCGGAAUUACUGGGCGUAAAGCGUGCGUAGACGGUUAUGUAAGUCGGGUGUGAAAUCCCCGGGCUUAACCUGGGAACUGCAUUUGUGACUGCAUAGCUAGAGUACGGUAGAGGGGGAUGGAAUUCCGCGUGUAGCAGUGAAAUGCGUAGAUAUGCGGAGGAACACCGAUGGCGAAGGCAAUCCCCUGGACCUGUACUGACGCUCAUGCACGAAAGCGUGGGGAGCAAACGAGG
rnacentral:rRNA from 1 species